rnacentral:tRNA from 1 species
GGGCGGUUCGUAUAGCGGCAAUUACACCUGACUGUAAAUCAGGCGCCUUUUGGCUCCAGAGGUUCGAGUCCUCUACCGCCCACCA